rnacentral:rRNA from 1 species
CUGCGAGUGAAGCGGGAAAAGCUCAAAUUUAAAAUCUGGCGGUCUUCGGCCGUCCGAGUUGUAAUCUGGAGAAGCGUUUUCCGCGCUGGACCGUGUACAAGUCUCUUGGAACAGAGCGUCAUAGAGGGUGAGAAUCCCGUCUUUGACACGGACUACCAGUGCUAUGUGAUGCGCUCUCGAUGAGUCGAGUUGUUUGGGAAUGCAGCUCAAAAUGGGUGGUAAAUUCCAUCUAAAGCUAAAUAUUGGCGAGAGACCGAUAGCGAACAAGUACCGUGAGGGAAAGAUGAAAAGCACUUUGGAAAGAGAGUUAAACAGUACGUGAAAUUGCUGAAAGGGAAACGAUUGAAGUCAGUCGCGUGUGCUAGAACUCAGCCUUGCUUUUGCUUGGUGCAUUUUCUAGUGUACGGGCCAGCAUCAGUUUUGGCCGCCGGAAAAAGGCCUUGGGAAUGUGGCACCUUCGGGUGUGUUAUAGCCCUUGGUUGUAUACGGUGGCUGGGACUGAGGAACAUCUUUGGAUGCUGGCGUAAUGGCUUUAAACGACCCGUCUUGAAACACGGACCAAGGAGUCUAACAUGCCUGCGAGUGUUUGGGUGGAAAACCCGAGCGCGUAAUGAAAGUGAAAGUUGGGACUUCUGUCGUGGAAGGCACCGACGCCCGGACCAGACCUUCUGUGACGGAUCCGCGGUAGAGCAUGUAUGUUGGGACCCGAAAGAUGGUGAACUAUGCCUGAAUAGGGUGAAGCCAGAGGAAACUCUGGUGGAGGCUCGUAGCGAUUCUGACGUGCAAAUCGAUCGUCAAAUUUGGGUAUAGGGGCGAAAG